CCCCCCCCCCCCGUGCAGCUCGGGGAAAGGCUGAUCAGCACCGGCCGCUCUCCUUCCCAGCGCAUCCAAACACAUCAGCUCGUGGCAACGGCGCUCCGAGACAAGAAAAGGGCAGCAGCUCCAUCCCACAGCGCCUGCAGGCUGGGGAGAGCCGAGCCUGCCUCGGUGGGGUCCUUGUAGGUCCGAGCUCUGAAAUCAAGCUCGCGUGGCACACACCUCGUACGACACGCACUGUGCCUCCCGUUACGAGGUACAGCUGAGAUCGGCCCCACACACCAACACCCCUCCUCAGCGCAGCACACACGGGAGCCGCUGCCGGCGCCCUGAGGUGAAGCCGGGCCCCGCGGAGGCGCCCCGGGCGGGCGGCCAUUGUGGCGGCAGGGCCGGACCGGGCCGUGCCGGGCGCCGCGGGGGUCGCCCGUUGCCCCGCCGCCACAAUGGCCGCCCGCCGGGGGCCGCGCCGGGCCCCAACAAAGGCGGCCGCCGGCGGGUCCGUCUCCGCGGCAACGCGGCCGCCAAUCGCAGCUGCCUCCCGGAUUAGAGCGAGCGGCCGGGCCCGCACAAAGCCGCCCCGCGGCGCCCGCUCUCGUCCGCGUGGGGAGAGAGGGAGCGAGGAGCGGCCGGCGGCGCCCAGAGGGGAAAGUGGAAGGUGGGAGGCGGCGGGAAGGAGCCGCCAUCUCGGCUCGGCCCGGCAGGGAUUGCGGGGCUGCGGUUCACAGACAGCCCGCGUUCACUGCUGGCAGGGCGUGGGAUCCAUCCAUGACCGUAGCUGUACUUGGACAAAGGCUUUCUUGCCGGGUGAAUUGUCCUUCUCCUCCUCCCCCCACCCCCCCGCCCUUAAAUAAAUAUUUGUUUCAACUCUUUAAACACAGCCACAGCAGCAGAUCUCUUUACUAGAAAGCUGCUGAGCUGCGUGGCCGAGGCUCUCCCAGAGAACUCUUUGGCGUGUUGGUCCGGGCCGCAGCUGCCCAGAGCCGAGGGCACAAGUUCAAGGCCCGCUAACUCCGAGCCACGCCGGGAUGGGGCCUCCUGUGUGCGGCCAGGGGGGUCACCGAGGAGAAAGGAGGGGCACAGCUCUGCAGGCACCUCAUUCUGGGGAACAGCAGAGCGGGCUGUGACAGGCGUGGCAGCAGGAGCGUGGGUACCACAUCCCUGAGCCUUACCCCAAAGGCAGCAUCACCACAGCCUUCAGCUUUGGAAACCGAACGGAAGCGGAAGAAAGGCUUUGGCUCAGUGAGGGAUAACGUACAACACCAUUGAAACACGUAGGUAUGUGUCGCCCCUGGGGAGGAGCCUCUUCUCAUCCUGCAUGGAUCUGGCACUGCUGCAGGUGGGCAGCAAGCAGCACUGCCCGUGGAUGGAGAGGCCCUUCUUGCACCAGCACCUGGUGUCAGCGAGCAGGGUGGUGGGGGCGGGCACACAAAGACAGGUUGCACAAAGAGAGCCUCCACCGAAGCAGCCAAAACAUCCAGGUGCCCAGACAGGAGACGAACCAAAACAGAACGCUGUGUGAUCCCCCUUGGCUUGGCCAAAAGGCCAGACUUCUCAGUGAGCCAGUCUCACUGUGCUAUCUCUCAGUCUUCCUGAGACAGCCAUAGGUCUCUGCAAAAGAGGAAGCCAAUGGCAGCCUCAGGCAGAUUUAAAACAAAAAUAAGAAUUUCCUGCACGCAUUUGAUGAGAAAUGCUGGGUGCACUUCCAUACAGGCAGAUCUUAAAGAAAGUUGUAAAUAUUCAAGCAAACGCUUUGCAGAGACAGGUGCUUUCUACCUGAACUGCUCACUGGUCCCACGAGGAACCAUGGCAACAUACUGGCAAAAAGGUAAAAGAAUAAUAGCUGGUGAGGCAGCUUCAACGUGGAAAACAUCAACCAAAUGAUCUAGAAACCACUCAGCCAAGGGAGGGCAUUGGCAACCGGAGAGGUUCUCCUGGCUGCUCAGACAGGGCAGGUUGAUUCUGCUGAUUCUAAGGGGGAGACAGCACCAAUCCAGAGCCUAACUCCACAGAGCAGCAUGCUGCGCCCACAUGGCACCAGGCUCUCCUCCUUUCUUGCUCUCUUCUGCAGAACAGUUCUCCAAACUCUGGGAACAAGACUAAGCCACUAGAUAGAGCCCGUUCCGUGCCACAGGUGAGCAGGCAGCCUAUCCAGGUGUUCUUCCCUGCUCUCACACUGUACUGCGGGCACCUGGCAAAUAUCAAAUGAACCACCGAAGACCUGAAUGACCAUUAAUGCUCCAGCAUUUUUGGCUAUCUGCCUACCAGAUGCGGAGCACAGAGUACCCUUUGUUCCAGAGGCUUUGUUACCACCAGCCAAACUGCCUACUGCCACAAGAGAGGUGAUCAGAUUCCCCUUCUCCUCCCCUCCCCAUCUGUUCAUUGCAACCCUGUUACGUGUGAGAAUUUGCAUAAGUUGCCCUCUGAUCUGUGGAAGAAAAUCCAAAAUUCAGUUUGGAAACCCAUAGCAGGUUGACAAGUAGCUUUGAUCCCCGAAAUUUCCAGAAAAUGGCAGAUUAAAGAUUAAUUAAUUAAACAGCCUCCCGGUCCAAAGCGAGGGAAAUCACGUCUACCAUAAGCGCAGGAAACUCUUUCCUUUAAAGGAACUCUCUAUCAGUAUCUAAAGGUUCUCCAAUUAGUCAUCAGGGGAAACUCAUUUAACAUAUCCAAGCCAAACACACCGUUUUUCUAGCAGGUGUACAUGAAUAUGUGUUUGUGAUAGACACGCAAACAGUCAUUAAAACCAGUGCACAGGAUACAGUGGUUUUUCUCUUGGUCAGGACAGUAGUAGAGCCUUCGCCUGGCUGACAUCUCAGAAUCUGUCUUAAGCAAACGGUCCAGAAUUUAGUCUGGGUAUUGGAUGGCAACCUAAAGGUCAGAAUCGUACUCUGACCUCAGCAGAUUUUUUUUUCUUGCUUGCUUCCAGGAUAUUUUUAGAGAGAGAGCGCAGGUCUCUCUCUGGGCACGAUCUGCCUUACUGACAAGCUGAGGUUUCAUAGCAGCUCAUCCAAGUGUGCAGAUCACCUGCAAGCCCAGGGAGAGAUGCAGACUGUCUUCGAGCACUUUUCAAGCACUCCUGGAGCCACAGCUGAUUAGUUUCAGUGAGGGUGGUACCCUGAAUCUAAAGAGGCUGUUGAAAUACUUCCUUGUGAAGUCUCAAGAUCUCCAACGCUCUCCAACUUGAGCCAAGGCAUUUGGCCACCCGUACCAGCGCAGAGAAGAUUUUGGGCUCAGGAAGGAAAGAAACCAAAACAAAAAUAGGACUACAGGGAGGAAUGCCAAAACAGAGGCAGCAGUCCUGGGAAUUUUGUGGGUUUUUUUUUUUUUUUAAUGGAAAAACAUUUCAUUUUGAAACCAAUCAAACUUCCAUUCUUUUUCUUGCUAGUGAACACUAGAGGCUCCAAGUGCUGCUUCUUAUCCAAAAUGCACCAAUACCAACUACCUUGGUAGACUCUCAAGAUGCACUGGGACAAUAGAACAUGAUCAUAAUCUCGUAUGACCUGGUCUGUACUGCAGGCCAUAGAACUUCCUCUCGUAAUUCCUACAGCACGUGCUUGCUUUCUGGCCAGACUAGAAUGUAUUUACCUAUCCUGAUGUAAAGGUUUCAAGGUGGCACACUUAGGCCUGCAGCCUCAGGAUUAUCAGGAAGAUAACCUCCAGCAGCCUGAACAGAGGACAACCUCUCUCUGAAGCCAAGAUCCACACUGAGCCUGCCACUGAAGACUGACCACGAGUCACCCCCAGGAACCUGGUAGCUUGGUUUUGCGGAAUCAAGACGGCACGUCUCCCAUUUCUAUCCCCUCCAGAAUCUAACCAUUCUCAGACAGGAGGAAAGAAGAGAGAUUUUUUUCUCUGUCAGAUCGUGAAAAAACAGGAGGUCACUCAGAACAAGAGGGGAAACCAACAAAGCCAGUCCUCCAAGAAGGGCAUCCUUAACAGCUCCUCGUCAGAUAGUCACAGUCCAAUCCCAAAUGACUUGAACAGCUCUUUUUUUUCAGUGAGGCUUUCUAAGAUGACAUGACUGAAGCUUCACCUCUCACUUGGAGGUAACUUAAAUUAAGGAGAUGAAAGACCAUAAAGGAUGGUGCAGUGUGUACCUUUAAAGAAGGGAUCCUAAGGAACCUCUGAAAGCUAUGAGGCCUCAGAGUAUCAUAACAAACACCAGAAGAGCCUGUGUACCAAAAUCAUGUUCUCUGUAAUAAUGACUCAUAUCUGAAAUUGCAGGCAACAGGCUUUCCUUUGCCCUAGAAACCAGAAAGGCACAUUCAGAGCACAGAACCCCAGCUCUGAUGGCCACAGAGGCUUUCCUCUGCAAUGUGUUUCCACUGAUCCCACAGAUCAGCUAUACGGAACUACCAACUGCAGAGGAUUUCUCAGGAGACAGUUUUCCUGGCCUUUGAUGAAUUAUUUGAGGCACGGCCUAGAAGGCAGGUAAAGGCCAGGAAGCAUGCUUUACACCAGAGCUCCGAGAAGCCUCCUCAGCUCAUGCAGCCAGAUGAGUCAGAAAAAUGCCCCAAAAGCAGAUAGUCAAUGUGACCAGCCCUGACCUCUCCCCACGGAAACUCCCAGGAGCAGAGGCCAGCUGCAUCGGCCUCGUGCAGACUUUGAGCACCGGAUGUCAUCCGGGAUGCCGGUACUUCGGCAAUGAAUCACACUGAGCUAUGCAGAACUCUCCCUUCUGCCCAGACCCAGGAAAACAAUCUGACACAACCAGUUCUUGCCAGUCUCCUGGUGUCAGGACACCUUUCAACACAGGCCCAUUAAACAAGUGGAACACAAGAGAAUAACACUCCAAAAGAACUGGAAAGUUCUUCUCAAACUAGAACAACAGACUGUAACUGCUUGUAAACUGAGUGCUAGGUGAUAUGCUUCUGCUUCAAAUUAACAGAGGUACAGUUAAGGUUAAAAGGGGAUUAUGCCCAAGACAUCUUGGUUUCCCACUGAACACAUCCAGCAGCAGCAGCACAGAAAGACAUGCAGCUAACAGACUUCAGACAGACACAUGGACACCACCACCUGUAGUGGAGCCUUUCAGUGACACCACGUGAAAGCUCCCAGGGACACAACAGAGCUUGCUUAUUUGUAACAGACAAUAAAAACCGUAUAGCACUUAUGAGCAGCAAAUGUGAGGACUUCUGAUGACUUUUGCCAUUACCCCUCUCUUUGGGCUGAACAGAAACACUGAGAAGUUCCUCUUUGCAGCCAUGACAACAUCCCAGAACACACACAGAUUUGGCUUUCAAAGCUGAGUAAAGGUUCUGAGCUGACACCCAUUCCAAAUUUUCAUCCCAAAAGUUCCAAUUAUGCAACAAAACUGAUUUAAAAUCUCCCCUCCUGCUCACCAACUAACGUGCCUUAAAACAGCAUCAUCUUGUCGCAUCAUCUUUCAGCAGAAAAUGAGUACCAAAGCCUUCAUCCCUCACACUCUUCACAGCUCCACAUCCAGGGUGUAAUCAGCAAUGUCCUGGCCAGGCGGCCACCCAGCAAACCACACCAUGUUUCCAUGGCCAGGCAGGAAGUUCCCACCAGCUACAGAAUCCAACGCUUCUUCCCCAAAGCAACAGUAAGUGCACAGUGCCACCGAGCAACAUUGAAACAGUUACAGUGCCCUGUCCCAGAAGUGACCACCCACAGCUUCUGGCUACAGUAAUCCCAUCAGUUCCUAAAGCCACUACAAAUCUUGGGACCCUUCAGUCUGUUACUGAGCUGUUCCAGAGGACGCUCACAACUUCCCGAAGCAGCUGAAAGGCCAAGACUGAGCCUCGCACAUCCUCUACCUCUGUUGUUACUCAUGAUUUGCACACCUGGCUGCCACAGAGCAAGGGCACAAACAACUUCAGCCCACAGAAGCCUGCUCUCCCCUGAGCCACCAGCUGGCACAGAAGUCCCAGGCCAACACAAGGCGCAGUGAUCGUGCCAGUUUUUCUUCAAACAUCCAAAAACAACAUCAGCACUUGCCCAAGACUCAGCAGGGGAAGUUUCAGGACAAAAAGGCUUGUUUUAAUAAAAGAUUACAGAAAUACCAAUCACAAGGCUUAAAAACAGACCAAAAAUCACAGGUUUGAUGCUGCAGCAGCCCUGUUAAGAGUGUCUGCAAAUCCUCCUUCAGCGCUUGAACAAACGACAAACCUACAGGACUAAAAUCCCACAACCGACCUCUGAAUAGGGACAAAAAUGGCAAACCAUUUCCCUUAACCCAGGUCUUAGCGACUGCAGGAACAAGCACAAGCUCUUUGUUUCAAAUCUGCACAGGGCUACGGCCCCUACAAACACAUUGCAGCUACCUAACCUCUGUAACUGACCUUCAAUUUACUUAACCCCAUGCAAAAGACUUACAGGCUCCUAAUCCCGCCUCCAAAAGUUCAGAAAACUCCUGCUUGCCCCAGAAGCAACAGCUUUGAUCCAACGCCACUCAAGAGACUUACCUUCC